GGAAGCAAGAAUUGAGGUUGCUGCAGACCCGUGCAGAUUUGCUGCUGCUAACAUACUUUGGUGCUGUGACUUGGAUAUGUUCCCUAGUGCUCUGCCACUGGAAAGGAACUGCCCUGAGAGCUGAAGGACCCCCAGGACCGGAUCCCAAUCCUUGAUGGCUUUGAGCUGAAGGAGCUCUCUGCUCUGGCUGGCUUCUAAGUCAGACAUUGUCAUCAGCAAGACAAAACCAAGAACAACUCUAGAGGACGCAUAAAACAACAUGCAGUACAAACUGUAAAUUCCUAACAGAAAGAAAAUGACUUUUGUCUAAUUCAAAGGUUAUAAAGGUAAAGAGGUACUUUGGUUAAGGAAGGUUAUAAAGAAAAGAAAUUUUAUAUGAGAAAGGAUCUUUUGUCAUAAAUUGGUGUCCUAAAGAAAAAUAACUGAUUGUUUUAAAAAAAGGGAUGCUUAGGACAAGUGAGAAAGUCCAAGCUUUUCAUAGAUGAUCUGUGUAAGUCAUGAAAAGA